rnacentral:lncRNA from 1 species
UGUCAUUUAUUAAUGCAGAUAUUGUUAGUAUAAUAAUAAAUUUUUUAAAGUUGAGAAAGUGUGGAUAAGAUCUGUAACAACAAAAAGACAAAAGAGCUGAUUAAUUCCAAAUAUUUCAUGCCACUGUUUGAUGGGCAUAGACAGACACAAUGUUGGUCCACUGUUGAUGAUGGCCUAAAUAAAGACUGAGCAAUGGCACUUGAGAGAGAGAGUGAGAGCUGAUUGUUUUUGUUUUUGUUUGAAAUGCCCAAAAGCCGAUAAGGAAGCUGAUAUCAACGAAGAGAAACUUAGGAAUAUCAGUAAGCAUGGGAAAUGUGAAGACCGCCAACAGCACA